GACGAACGCUGGCGGCGUGCUUAACACAUGCAAGUCGAACGGACAGGCCCUGCUUUUGUGGGGUGCUCGAGUGGCGAACGGGUGAGUAACACGUGAGUAACCUGCCCUUGACUUUGUGAUAACUUCAGGAAACUGGGGCUCAUACCGGAUAGGAGCUCCUGCUGCAUGGUGGGGGUUGGAGAAUUUCGGCGGUUGGGGAUGGACUCGCGGCUUAUCAGCUUGUUGGUGGGGUAGUGACUUACCAAGGCUUUGACGGGUAGGCGGCCUGAGAGGGUGACCGGCCACAUUGGGACUGAGAUACGGCCCAGACUCCUACGGGAGGCAGCAGUGGGGAAUAUUGCACAAUGGGCGGGAGCCUGAUGCAGCAACGCCGCGUGCGGGAUGACGGCCUUCGGGUUGUAAACCGCUUUCGCCUGUGACGAAGCGUGAGUGACGGUAAUGGGUAAAGAAGCACCGGCUAACUACGUG
rnacentral:rRNA from 1 species